GACAGAGGAUGCAAGUGUUAUCCGGAAUCACUGGGCGUAAAGCGUCUGUAGGUGGUUCGAAAAGUCCACUGUUAAAAAUUGAGGCUUAACUUCAAAGAUGCCGUGGAAACUUUCAAACUAGAGUAUGGUAGGGGUAGAGGGAAUUUCCAGUGGAGCGGUGAAAUGCGUAGAUAUUGGAAAGACCACCGAUGGCGAAGGCACUCUACUGGGCCAUUACUGACACUGAGAGACGAAAGCUAGGGGAGCAAAUGGG
rnacentral:rRNA from 1 species